AUUCCCGUGUCAUUCUCGAUCAAAUAGGAAACGAUCUUGACUCUACCUACAUCAACGCCAAUUACAUUGAUGGUGUUGACGCCAGCAAGGUGUAUGUCGCUUGUCAAGGACCGAAGGAAAAAACGGUUGACGAUUUUUGGAGGAUGGUUUGGCAACUGAACACAGGAAAAAUUGUCAUGGUGACACACCUUAUCGAGGGUGGAAAUGUAAAAUGUCAUCAAUACUGGCCUGACGAAGGUGAACCAUUGGUUUCGAAGCAUUUUAAGAUCACACUUGACCGAGAGAGGACUUACGCAUUUUAUGUUUUGCGGGAAAUUUCUUUGAGUCAA